UCCCCGCUAGCCCAGAGGUAGAGGCACCGCACAUAGUGAUGGCGGAACAGGGCAGGUUCGAUUCCUGCGCGGGGAAC
rnacentral:tRNA from 1 species